rnacentral:rRNA from 1 species
UACGAAGGGGGCGAGCGUUGUUCGGAUUUACUGGGCGUAAAGGGCGCGUAGGCGGCCCUUCAAGUCAGGCGUGAAAGCCCCGGGCUCAACCUGGGAGGUGCGCUUGGGACUGGAGGGCUGGAGUUCGGGAGAGGAGCGUGGAAUUCCCAGUGUAGAGGUGAAAUUCGUAGAUAUUGGGAAGAACACCGGUGGCGAAGGCGGCGCUCUGGACCGAGACUGACGCUGAGGCGCGAAAGCGUGGGGAGCAAACGGG